ensembl:snRNA U6 U6 spliceosomal RNA
UUGCUUCAGCAGCACACAGAGCAAAACCGCAAAAACACAGAGAGCAUUAGCAAGAGCCCCGCACAAGGAUGACACAGAAAUUUGUGAAGAAUCUCAUAUUUUU